UUUCAUUUUAGAAGAGGAUUUCCAUAUCCAUCUUUCGUGCAGAGGACGCCUCGUCUUCAUUCAAACACAAGCCGCUAGAGUUCCUCUUUCGGCAUUCAUUUACACUGCCAGGAAUUUGUGAUCAGGAGAUUUUUUAGUCUGCUGGAUUUUUUUUAUUUUCAUUUUUUGACACCGAGCGAGCGUUUGGGCAGCCUCUCUUUCAAGAAUCUUAGCAAUAGGGAGCCUGCUGAGACUACUAGGUGGAGAUCACCUGUAACGCAGGGUCGUGGCAUUUGAGGGAGCUAUUCUUCUCGUUUCAUCUCCUAUGGUAUACAUGUUCCCCAUCUUAAUAUGAAAAAACUACAUUUAUUUGAAACACUUGGUUACUGUUGAAGCUUGCUUUAGUGCUUGGAUGGUCUCAAAUUCAUGGCAAUGCAUUUGCUUCUCUUAAAUUCAAUGUAUGAUAGUGAUGUUAAUUUUUUGUUUUUGUGUUACCAUUUUACAUUUGAACCAUGACCAUAUGCAAUCUGAGGUGUGGGGAGGCUCAGACAGAAAAUGCUUACAAUGAAUGUUUAUGAGUACUUGGUAAUUUUGGAGUCCUUGGUUAGGGUUUGGGCUGAAAGUACGAGUGCUAGAGCUGACACUUUCGGAGUCCGAACUCAUUCUUUUAAAAAAUAGAAAAAUGGGAAUAUUAG